UACGUAGGGACCAAGCGUUAUCCAGAUUUACUGGGCGUAAAGCGCGUGUAGGCGGCUGGUUAGGUGUGAUGUGAAAUCCUCGGGCUCAACCCCGAGAACUGCAUUGCAAACCGGCCUGGCUAGAGUGCAGGAGAGGGAAGCGGAAUUCCAGGUGUAGCGGUGAAAUGCGUAGAUAUCUGGAGGAACACCGGUGGCGAAGGCGCCGCUCUGGGCCGAAAACUGACGCGUGAGGAGCGAAAAGCAUGGGUAGCAAACAGG
rnacentral:rRNA from 1 species